CAGCUGAUCACACAAGAGGGGUUCUUUCUGGAAAUGCUUUCACAAACGUGCAUGUUCCUCCCAACCAAAGAAAGGCAUGUGCAAUACGGAGCCUUCCUGAAAGCAGGUAAAAUAACCCCAUUCUUUUUUCAGCAAUCUGAAAACAAUGGGAAAGGUGUGCUUUGGUUCUAGAGGGGCCUUGUAGUCUAUUUUAGUCUAGAUAUGUUUUGUUUAUAAAUUCCCAAGGAAUUGUCAACACUUUGGUGACACCUAAUGGAUUCUUUUUGAAAUUCCAAGGUGCUUCAUUUCUUUGCCUCUUACGUGAAUUGUGCCUUUUAUCGCAUUUCUGUUCCCCUCUUGGUGUGGCACUUCUGACUUUUCAGAGAACACCCAUCUUGUUGGAGGCAGGUGUAAGUGGCGGUCAUGCUGUGCCACACAUGUUACUGCGACAAUCGUAUCUUCCUAAGCUUUUUAAGGAGAGUUGGGGGGUGGGGUGGGGAAGUAGAACUAGCUAUAAAAUAUGUAUGGCACAACUUGUUUAAUUUUGCAUGUAACUUCUUUUUAGUGCCUCGAUGAGGUUUUAGUGACAUUGUCAUCUAAUACUUUACCUUUUUUGUUCAGGGAAUGCCUUCGUGAUUUUUAUACUGGUUUUACUAUUCAAGACUGUGGCUUGGGUUUGAGCGUACUGUUAUCAACCACCUGGUCUUCUAUUCGCCCAUCCAGUAAGCUUAUAUUUUGUGAAGCUUUUGUUUCUCCGAUUAAGACACUGUUAGAACCUAAAGUAGUAGCUGAUGGCUAUCUGUGAAGGAAAAAAAAAAAAAUUUUUUUUUUUUUUUUUUUUUUUUUUUACUUGAACUAGAUUGUCUAAAAUAGGCAUCCUCAUCCGCAGUACCCGGAACCUCGCUCACUGUCGUGUGCACUACAAUUUGCAAUUUGGAAAAGUUGCUGUAUUGAAAUUCUGUCAGUACGCAGUUGUUUGAAUACUGAUAUUCUCUCCCAAACACUGGUUACCGCAGCAGCGUUUUUCAUGGGCGAAAGAAGAAAGGCCACUAAGGCCAAAGAUUUUUAAAAAUCAUUGUACAAAUUCUUACGUUAAAUUAAACUAAGCUUUGCUGUAAUACUGUUUUCUCUUCAGUAUGUGAUGGUACAGGAAUGUUGUUAAAUGAAGGGCGUAGUGUUGCAGGGGAGCAUUUUAAAUCGCAGAAGUAAAAAGUUAUAAUAUUUAUAAUUUUGAUGAGUUUAUUUUUAUAGGGAAGAUUUUUCUUCCCUACAGUUGUUUCUGGAAUGGCAAAUUGUUUCCAUUAUUAAAAGUCGAAGUUGUUG
rnacentral:lncRNA from 1 species